GAGUUCUCUUAGAAGAUGUGGUUGUAGAUGCAAGGAGAAAUGAGGUCUUUCUAGAGAAAGAGCAGGGGCAGACUGCUUAUCAGAGAUGCCAUGCCAGGCUCAGGGAGAGCUGUUCCCAGCCCGAGAGCAGGAAGAGCAGCUCAGGCAGCAGGUGGAAGAGCCAUAGCAGAAUGGCCAGAACAUCAAGGCAGAGCCACAAGCAGAGCUGCCCGAAGCUCAGAGUGCCAUCAUGGCAGUGAAGAGAAAGAACAAGGAAGACAUGAGAAGAAUUCAAGAGGAGAUGAAUCUCCAUCAGCACAGGGGCGAUCAACAAAACCAGGUGAGAGAAAGAGUGGCAGCCACUCCACUCAUGAAACUUCCUCUCCAUUGUUGUUUACAAACCAUCAAGGAAGAUGUGCAGGCAGAGCUGCAGGAAUCUGAGGCUAGGAACAAGGCAAGGGAGAAGAGGCUGGAAGAAGAAAUGAAAAUCAUCAGAGAGAAAGUUAAUCACCUCCCUCAGGCUCUACAAAAGCAAGUGAGUGAAGGAGGGACAGCCACUGCAGUCACCAAACUGAUGCUUUCUGCCCUUCUUGCCUUUCAGUGCAGAGCAGCAGGGAGUGGGGCCAUGCCUCUGAGUGCCAUCCUGCUCUAGUGUGGAUCACAGUUACUCUGAAGGACAUUUCCUGCUGUGCUGGAUCUCAAGUGCUGCCCUGGACAGUGGGACUUGUUCUUUGGCUUUUGGCCAGCAAUCAUCCAAAUUGAUUCCUGCUGGCAUGUUCCUGCUCUCUCUGUUUCUUUACAGGGGAACAUGGUGACCCAGAGGAGGAUUGAAACAAGCUGUCUGUAUCCCUUGUAUAUCUGUUCUUUCCCUUUGCUCACAGUCAAUGACUCUUGGCUGAGAGGGACAAGCUGUGGUCUCUGAUUGCUUUGUUCUCUGACUUGAGGUGCAAGUGUCGACAUCUCACCUGGCAGACCGCAAAGACUUCCAGCAAACAACGGGCAAUGAAGGGCCCCAAGGUUGGUGUGAAGCACAGGAACUGUCCCCACCAGAAGUGCUACAGGUUCAGCACACCUACAUGGACUCUGGCACUAAACCUGCUGCUGCAGCAUU